rnacentral:rRNA from 1 species
GAUGAACGCUGGCGGCGUGCCUAAUACAUGCAAGUCGAGCGAAUGGAUUAAGAGCUUGCUCUUAUGAAGUUAGCGGCGGACGGGUGAGUAACACGUGGGUAACCUGCCCAUAAGACUGGGAUAACUCCGGGAAACCGGGGCUAAUACCGGAUAACAUUUUGAACCGCAUGGUUAGAAAUUGAAAGGCGGCUUCUGCUGUCCCUUAUGGAUGGACCCGGGUCGCAUUAGCUAGUUGGUGAGGUAACGGCUAACCAAGGCAACGAUGCGUAGCCGACCUGAGAGGGUGAUCGGCCACACUGGGACUGAGACACGGCCCAGACUCCUACGGGAGGCAGCAGUAGGGAAUCUUCCGCAAUGGACGAAAGUCUGACGGAGCAACGCCGCGUGAGUGAUGAAGGCUUUCGGGUCGUAAAACUCUGUUGUUAGGGAAGAACAAGUGCUAGUUGAAUAAGCUGGCACCUUGACGGUACCUAACCAGAAAGCCACGGCUAACUACGUGCCAGCCGCCGCUGUAA